rnacentral:rRNA from 1 species
AGAGUUUGAUCCUGGCUCAGGACGAACGCUGGCGGCGCGCCUAACACAUGCAAGUCGAACGGAGCUUAGAGAGCUUGCUUUUUAAGCUUAGUGGCGAACGGGUGAGUAACGCGUGAGUAACCUGCCCUAGAGUGGGGGACAACAGUUGGAAACGACUGCUAAUACCGCAUAAGCCCACGGUACCGCAUGGUACUGAGGGAAAAGGAUUUAUUCGCUUUAGGAUGGACUCGCGUCCAAUUAGCUAGUUGGUGAGGUAAUGGCCCACCAAGGCGACGAUUGGUAGCCGGACUGAGAGGUUGAACGGCCACAUUGGGACUGAGACACGGCCCAGACUCCUACGGGAGGCAGCAGUGGGGGAUAUUGCACAAUGGGGGAAACCCUGAUGCAGCGACGCCGCGUGGAGGAAGAAGGUUUUCGGAUUGUAAACUCCUGUCGUUAGGGACGAUAAUGACGGUACCUAACAAGAAAGCACCGGCUAACUACGUGCCAGCAGCCGCGGUAAAACGUAGGGUGCAAGCGUUGUCCGGAAUUACUGGGUGUAAAGGGAGCGCAGGCGGGAAGACAAGUUGGAAGUGAAAUCCAUGGGCUCAACCCAUGAACUGCUUUCAAAACUGUUUUUCUUGAGUAGUGCAGAGGUAGGCGGAAUUCCCGGUGUAGCGGUGGAAUGCGUAGAUAUCGGGAGGAACACCAGUGGCGAAGGCGGUCUACUGGGCACCAACUGACGCUGAGGCUCGAAAGCAUGGGUAGCAAACAGGAUUAGAUACCCUGGUAGUCCAUGCCGUAAACGAUGAUUACUAGGUGUUGGGGGAUUGACCCCCUCAGUGCCGCAGUUAACACAAUAAGUAAUCCACCUGGGGAGUACGACCGCAAGGUUGAAACUCAAAGGAAUUGACGGGGGCCCGCACAAGCAGUGGAGUAUGUGGUUUAAUUCGAAGCAACGCGAAGAACCUUACCAGGUCUUGACAUCCGAUGCAUAGCACAGAGAUGUGUGAAAUCCUUCGGGACAUCGAGACAGGUGGUGCAUGGUUGUCGUCAGCUCGUGUCGUGAGAUGUUGGGUUAA